CACAAGGCCAUCAGCCCUCUGGCCGCAACCUGUUUGCAUCCAUGCUUCUGAGAAGAGCAUCAACUCAUGGCUUCGAUGGCUCUGGUGCCCUGACAGCUAAAACCCGCUGGUUUAGCCUAACAGGUGUGACCUCUCUUGAAUUUUGAACCCAUCCCCUGAUUCCCGAGUUUUCAUGUUCAAAACGGUUCCUGGGGCCUUCUUUGUGAAAUGACUUCAGGGCCAAUUUAUCAAUCCCAUGCAAGACAGCGCGUUGUUAGAUCGUGCCCUUUGUGUGGUAACAUUAUAAGAAGGAAGCAGAGGGCGAUAUGACUACAGAAGAGGAGGCAACCACGUGACCAGGGAGGAUGAGAUUGGAGCAACAGGGCGACAAGCCAAGGGACACCCGCAGCCACUAGAAGUUGUGUGAGGCAAGAAGGAUCCUCCUCUGGAGCCUUCAGAAGGAGCCAGCCCUGCUGACACCUUCAUUUUAGCCCCUUAAGACUCAUUUCGCACUUCUGGCCUCUAGAACUGUGAGAGAAUAGAUUUCUGUUGUUUUAAUCCAAUAAGUUUGUGGUAUUUGUUACCGUAGCCCCAGGAAACUCACACAGCCCCAGGGUGAGGGACCAGCUGAACUCCAGUUGGUGCCCAGGGGCCCUGCGGCUGUCAGAGGGAGCUGGGGCGGAAAGUCGGAUAUGCUCCCUGGGAUAGCUCAGGAACUGGGAGAAAAUGUGGGCAAUAUUGUGAAGGUGGGCGGAGAGGGGCUUUCUCUCUUCAUUUUGUAGCUUCCUGUAUUGUUUGGAUCUUCUACUGAUACAUGUCUUUGUUUUUUAAAAUGUCAUUGGGAGUUAUCCGUGAGGGGAGAUUUUGUGUUUCCUUGUUUGCAUUAAAAGGCA